GGUGAUUCAUGAUAACUUCUCGAAUCGCAUGGCCUUGCGCCGGCGAUGGUUCAUUCAAAUUUCUUCCCUAUCAACUUUCGAUGUUUGGGUAGUGGCCAAACAUGGUUGCAACGGGUAACGGAGGGUUAGGGCUCGACCCCGGAGAAGGAGCCUGAGAAACGGCUACUACAUCCAAGGAAGGCAGCAGGCGCGCAAAUUACCCAAUCCCGACACGGGGAGGUAGUGACAAUAAAUACUGAUACAGGGCUCUUUUGGGUCUUGUAAUUGGAAUGAGUACAAUUUAAAUCCCAUAACGAGGAACAAUUGGAGGGCAAGUCUGGUGCCAGCAGCCGCGGUAAUUCCAGCUCCAAUAGCGUAUAUUAAAGUUGUUGUGGUUAAAAAGCUCGUAGUUGAACCUUGGGCCUGGCUGGCCGGUCCGCCUCACCGCGUGUACUGGUCCGGCCGGGCCUUUCCCUCUGUGGAACCCCAUGCCCUUCACUGGGUGUGGCGGGGAAACAGGACUUUUACUUUGAAAAAAUUAGAGUGCUCCAGGCAGGCCUAUGCUCGAAUACAUUAGCAUGGAAUAAUGAAAUAGGACGUGCGGUUCUAUUUUGUUGGUUUCUAGGACCGCCGUAAUGAUUAAUAGGGACAGUCGGGGGCAUCAGUAUUCAAUUGUCAGAGGUGAAAUUCUUGGAUUUAUUGAAGACUAACUACUGCGAAAGCAUUCGCCAAGGAUGUUUUCAUUAAUCAGGAACGAAAGUUAGGGGAUCGAAGACGAUCAGAUACCGUCGUAGUCUUAACCAUAAACUAUGCCGACUAGGGAUCGGACGAUGUUAUUUUUUGACUCGUUUGGCACCUUACGAGAAAUCAAAGUGCUUGGGCUCCAGGGGGAGUAUGGUCGCAAGGCU
rnacentral:rRNA from 1 species